GCCGAGGCUGAGGCGAAGCCGCCCAGGCCACGCCCUCCCGGACCCUGGCGGGGCUCAGCGUCCCUUUUCUUCCUUAAACAUUUUGAAGCACUCAACAAUUUUUAAAAAGUGGCCAAAUGUCAAACACUAAUGAAGUCGAUAUAGUCGAUCCUGAUCUCCCCUUUCUCAGGAACAAGAAACGCACUCCGAGAAAGAAGACAAAGUGGAUGUAAUUUCCGGACAUGCAGAUGAAUCUAAAUAGUGAACUGAAGUUGAGAAACAAGUGGAAAACUUGAAGAUGAAAGUAGGACAGAUGCGCUGAGUGGAACACAGAAUAAGGCAAUAUAGGCAUCAACUGUUGAAGGAAACAGGAGAUCGGAGACAGCAUGAACAUUUGAAUCUACAUUUCUACAACCCUGGACAAUAAUCCAGUAAAACAAUGCUCAGCCAGCCCAGUGCAAAGUCAAGCACCUAAUGGCUGAAUGAAGAUCUGAAAAGCUUGGGGAAAAUGAAUGAACUGCCUGCUCCUCAUUACACUCCAGUCGCAGGAUGGGGAUACAUCUGGUUUUCUGAUUACACUUUCCCAUAGUAAAGAAAAUUCUAGCCUAGCAGGUCAAACCAGCUGAUGACUAGCCAGCUCCAAUUACUGACUUGACCUGCUUCUAACCUCAAUGGGAAAAAGAAAACCCUUUUUACUCAUUCUUAGCAACGAAAUAUGGGUGUAGAAGGUUGUUGGGUUUUUUUCCUGAUUAAUUAAAGUUGCUUAUUCAAA